ACGAAGCGCGGUGAGAAAUUAGCUGUUAGGAACCAGGCGCCAAGUUUCAUGAGAGCGCGGGAAAUAAAUGGUAGGGAUAAGUGAAGCGAAUAGAUUGGUCGGGUCCGUCGAGGCGCGGAGGGGCAUCGACCGGUCUGGCAUCGGGCUGCUAUCGGACUGGCAGGUCCCCCCGUUCAGUGCCACCAAUACACAAGAGCCGAGGACUCUCUAUCGCCGACCAUUGGUCCUCAAUUUGCCGACCAAUCAUUGGGAAAGUGCCCACGAAAAUAUCCAAUCGAUAGCAGUGAUUUACAAUGGAACAAUUGGGAGAUGGACAAGCAGUUGUGGUCGGUAGUGCCGGAGGCACCGUCCAAGUUGUUCAAAUGGGACAAGGAGGCCAAGCAAUGGCCAUGCUCCCACAAGCUAUACAAGUGGCAGCGCCAAAUGGUCAGAUACAAGUCGUUCCAGUAUCCAGUUUGACUAACGCAGGCCAGCAGAUUGUGAUACAACAGCCACAAACUCCACAAAUCAUUCAGACACCUGAUGGUCAAACGUACAUAUAUCAGCCUGUUCAGUUGGAAGGCCAGGUUCAACAAGCACAGCCAACUGUGAUUAACAUCAAUGGAAAUCUCAUGCAAAUCGCUGGAACAUCGCAGCAAGCAACGACCACUGCAGCGACUACAGCACCGGUACAGCCGCUAGCGAGUCCCACAGGAACAGCAACUCAGGCAGGAAAUGUUGUCAUGAUGGUGCCAGGAAACAGUGGACAGACUCAGUUUCAAAGGGUAGCCUUGCCAAAUGCAGAAGUCUUUGAAGAAGAACCUUUGUACGUAAAUGCCAAACAAUACAGGCGUAUAUUGAAACGUCGUCAAGCGAGGGCUAAAUUGGAAGCUGAAGGAAAGAUACCUAAGGAGAGACCAAAAUAUCUUCACGAGUCUCGUCAUCGACACGCAAUGAAUAGAAUUCGCGGCGAAGGUGGUCGUUUUCAUUCCGGUCAAGUAAAGAAGCGAAACAGUAGAACGAAUGACCCGAACACCACCAUCCAGCACAUUACGACCUCGGCCAUCACAAGUUCGACCAACAACUCCGUUCGUACUAUAGCAAUAGCAGCUGCAAACGUAGGCGUACAGUAUCGCGACACGGACAACAUGUCAUCCACGAUUGUUCUCGAAAAACGUGAUAUCCCGCUUCAAGAUAUGAUCUCUGAAGAAGAUAUUGUUAUUUCGAACAAUCGCUUGAUGUAGGUGUAAACCUUUAAAUUUAUUAAAAUUGAAAUUAGGCAAUGUGUGAUGUGUGAGAAAGCUACGAGGAAAGAAAGCGUGUCGUAGGUAACGAGAUCGUACAUAUUUCUCUUUUGAUCGUCAAAAGAACUGCCUGUAAAUAAUAUUAAUCUCGAUGACGAGAUAUAGUGCAGACAUAGUUUUUCAACAUAAAAUGCUGCGAAGGGUUAUCGAAUUUUGUAAAUAUCACAAGAUUGCGAAAACGUUUGCGUCUUAUAUUUUUUUAGCUUUCUUUUACGCAUAGCCUAAUAGAGAACUUGAUCGAAUACUAUUGCAUAGUAUCAUAUUACGGUGUAGUCGGAUCAACUGGAUACAGCCGGACAGAUCGGUGAUGAUAGGAAGAUGUAUCCGUCGAUUUAAAGAUGCUUUAGUGAUUCAUCUCACCGUCGACAUCAACUUAAAAUAUGCCCUGUACAUAAUCGAACGAUUGAUAAUAAGUGCAACUCGAGAUGUAGACCCCUUAUACGUAUCUUGUCAUCGCAUUCGAUCGAGAGACUGAGUCGUAUAACUUACUGUUAAGUCCUUGGGUACCAUUCAUAGAUUAGAUUUUGUAAGUGAAGUAACCGUAACUUGUAUUAAAAUAAGAGAUGGACAAAGUGCAAAGUUUUAAGAGACGUAUCAAUAAGAUUUUUUGUACAAUUCAAGUGCAAGUACAAUUAAUUUAAUCUACUGAGAAGCUACGUUAAGCGUGUUAACGUGUACAUGUUAGGGAUACAUUAUAUAGAGUUACACGUGUUUCAUGCAGUGGCUUGUAUAAAUAAUACGUUUUAUAACAAGAAGUUAAGUACUUUGCUUGAUUGAAUGAGGCUACUUAAUGUAUGAUGACCGAUUUGAAAGUUUAUUAUCGACAAAUUUUUGUACGUCGAAAGUCAGCCGUCAGUGUCAAGAAGCGGCUAACUGAGCAGCGGCCGCUCCCGCAAGGUAUACCGCAAGUAGAAGCCGAAAAACAAAUUGUUCCAGUCUCUAGUUUAACUGCUGAUGCAGCCAGCCAGCAGAUCGUGAUACAGCCUCUACAAAUCGGAUCGGAUCGGAUCGGAUCGGAUCGGAUCGGAUCGGGUUUUCCAUAGAAUUUUCGGAAUCGCUAAAGGUGGAUCACCUCUUCCAAAACUGUUUCACCUGAAAUUCCAACCUGGUUGAACUGGAACUGCUAGUAUUCAGGAAGAAAAUGAAAAUUAAUCGACUCUCAAUAUUGUAUAUUUCUUCACAUGUAAAAGAUCGACGAACGAAAUGUUCGGCAGUAUGCAUAAAUAAUUUAUAAAUCAAAGCUACGAUAAAUCAGGAGUGUAAAUAACUAGGCGAAGUAUAAAUGAUAAGCAGCAAGAUUAUCAUAGAACAUACGAAUAUGUUGUGUUCAGUGUGUGUGUGUGUGUGUGUGUGUGUGUGUGUGUGUGUGUGUGUGUGUGUGUGCGCGUGUGUGUGAACGACUUUGGAUCGUGCACAGACACCUCGAUCCUCAGACUCCUCUGAUGGAUGAUUUAAUUGAUUGAUUUGAUGCGUGUGCUUCGGAAGAUAAAUAGAAACUGUAAAUUGACGAAUCUAUUGAUAACGCAACGAGUUCCUAAAUGUAUUCGUUCGCGGAGAACAUGUGGAUUUUUUUAUUUUUUCUUCGACUUUCGUUGCUUUUUCUGCUAGGUUCCUUGACGGGGAAAAUAGUACUGUUACCAUAUUUAGUGUUUUUAGUUUCUUUACAUAUAUUUAUUGCAACAUCUCGUAUCUACUUCUCUCGUAUAUAAUAUUGGAAUGAUAAACUUCGUCAACAGCUUGUUCCUCAUUGUUCUUGACUUUUUAAAAAAUUGUUCUCGGUUCCAUUUUCAUUCUUUACUACUCCUGCUGCUGCAGUCUAUUUUUUCAUUCGUCAUAAAUUAUGAAUAGCUUGGAGGUCUUACUGUCAGUGAAAUAAAAAAUUCAUUGAAGCGCAACGAGAAGCAGAGACAUAAACUUAAACCAAGAAUAAUUUAUUAUUCUUUCCCCGUCUGUUUAUUUUCUCGUAUACGUUGCGUGAAAGGGAAAUGCGGAAUGGUUUAUGCGUCAUGCGAAUCCAAUUUUUCCUCUCUAAUAAUAAGUUCAAACGCAAACGGCCCAACUGUAAGCAGUAAGUUAACUGGAAAUUCGAUUGUCGAUUAGUCUGUAAUGGAAUAGGGAAAAGGCGUCUUGCUUUAUGAAUAGAAUAGUAAAAUUUCUUUCGAUGUGAGUUCCAUGGGAUCUUUCGUUCUUGCUGAGACACUUAAUAACUCGCGUAAUCAAGAAUCGUGUCUACUACCGGAUUAACCGGACUGUCAUCGCGUGACGAAACUCGCGUAUGAAAUUAUAGUGACGUAGAAAAGAUGGGCAACUAAUGAUUCAGAGGCCGUCAUCAUCUUCGAUUGAGCGACGAUAAAAUUGGUACUUGGAUGAACGAUUUUGACAAACUUAUGUAUAUUGCUCUCUGAUUGGGGUUUCCUCUAGCCACUUUCUCCAAUCAGACGGCGGCAGUGUCUCGUCAGUAAUAAUUAAUCAUUGUCUUCGAGGAUGAUCACGACCGAUUCGUAGUAACAGUGUACAAUCAAGCGACGAAUAAAAUUGAUUCAGACUCAAGGACAGUUUCUCCUAUCCAAAUUUUGAACCUGGUGUACUUGUAUGCAUACAUACUAAUUAUGAACGAACAAAAAAAAAUACAAUAAUGGAUGUUAUCAUAUUGUACCGGAAGGUGGAUGUACAUGUACCGACAUAUUAUAUGGAAAUAUAAUAUAUAUUAUAUAUGUAACGGCAAA